GGAUUGUGGCUCAGAGGUAGAGUGUUCACCUACCAUGCAUGAGACACUGGGUUCGAUCCUCAGCACCA
rnacentral:tRNA from 1 species